GCAGCACCCAGGCAAGUGGUGAUGCUACCCCUCAAGCUUCAGGCCAAUGUCUGCUGCCACACGGCUGGGUGACCUCGGCCCACACAGGCCCCUGCCCUGCCCCAUCCUGCCCUGGCACAGCUAUGUUCUCUGUAGCUCCCUCUGCCGGACUCCUGCAAGGCUUGCCCACUGCUGAGCAAGAUCCUCACACAUCCCCGCACGGCCACACUGCUCAACUGUGACGGGCCCAGUGGCCGAUGGCCCCAUGCUGCAUGCACAGGUGACCUGUCUGUCUGUCUCUGAGAAGAGGCCUGGGCAGGGAAGGAGACACCUCUAAAGAGCUGGCACAUGGUCCCAGUGAACCAGCACUUCCGGCCACCCGAGAGAGGCAUCACACACCCCAUCGGGAUCUGCGAAGGUGCACGCAUGAGUGUGGUGUGGGGCUUCCGCUUCAGAGAUGCCUGUUACACAGCAGCAGCAGGAGCAGCAGCGGCAGCGGACUGAGACACGGCGGCUGUGCCAAGACCUCAAAAAGGAAGUGAAUGCUCUGCUGUUCUCAUACUCCACAGUGCAUCCUUGACCCGGUGAUCCACACACUGGAGCAUCAUGCAGCCAAGAACAGGAGGGAGGCCUGACACAGAGGACCCAGACAAGAAAGCCACACAGUCGCCAUGACAGGCCAUGCCCAGGGUGGAAGAACACAGAGGGGAACGCAUGUGUGCGCUGGUGGAUGCCUUAAACAGAGAAGGCCUUCUCUGAGGGAUGUGAUGUUCUGCAACUGGGUAGACUACCUGGCUGUAUAAUCUGAAGAUCACACAGGUGUGUAUAUCUUACACAAGUGAUCCCUACAGUCUACCAAUUAUAGCUCAAGAUCACAAAAUCAAAA
rnacentral:lncRNA from 1 species